AACCAAUGAGUUUUAUUCCAGUGUAGUACCAAGUAUGGUCGCAAGGCUGAAACUUAAAGAAAUUGAC
rnacentral:rRNA from 14 species